CAGACAUGGAGAAAUGGAGCUGGUGGAAGGUAGGCAGAAGGGAGUCUGAAGAUCUUCAGUUGUACCGAUCCUGGACUAGGUGCUUACUGAAGGCCAACCGCUUCUCAAGCUUUAGGAAGAUACUUGUGGUUGUAUGUGAGGGAAAGCAGCAAAGAACUGCCAGGAGUACUUUUACUUACAGUGACCCUUUCACAGCAACUCCGGCAAGUGAGCUUGCAUUAUGAUGUCCUGGGAAACUUUAAGUUGCUUAUAUCCUAUGAAGUGAUAUCACCGAAAUGAAACAGCAGGUCACGGUGUCACAGCUGGAAAUCUUGAAUCCAU
rnacentral:lncRNA from 1 species